ensembl:lncRNA
CACAGUAAUGAGACCCUGAUUUUGUCCAGGAUGGCAAUGUGCCAAGUCCCAGAUGGUCUAGAUCAGGGCUGGCGAUUUUUUUGUUGUUGUUAAAGAGCCUGUUAGAAAACAUUUUGGGCUUUGUGGCCAUACAGUAUUUAUUACAACUGCUCAUUUCUGCCAUUAUAGUGCAAGAGCAGCCAUAGACAAUACGUAAACGCGUGGGCAUAGCAAUGUUGAAAAACCCCACAAAAACUCUAUUUACAAAAGGUAAUGGGGCAGAUUCGUUACCAGGGCUGUAGUUUGCUGACCUCUGAUUCUAAGCCAAAUAUUUUGAUUUCAGGAACUCUUCACACCCUUAAGAAUUAUUAAGGACACCAAAGAGCUUUUGUUUAUGUGGGUUACAUCUAUCAAUGUUUUACAUGUAAAAAUUAAAACUGAGAAUUUAAAAAAACAUUUAUUUCAUUUAAAAAUAAUAGUAAGCCCAUUGGUAUAAAACAACUGUGUUUUCCAAAACAAAGAACUAGUGAGACAAUAUUUUUCAGUUUGCAAACCUCUUUAACAUCUGCCUUGCUUGAAGACCGUUGGAUGCUCGUAUCUUCUUCUGUGUUGUCUGGUGCGAUAUGUGGUUUUAGUCGAAAAUUCAGUGUCAUACAGAGGUGUAGUUGGAAAGGAAGACCUUGCAGAACCAUGGCAAAGGAGACCCUCAGGACACUCUGAGGACCACUGGCCCAUGUUGAUCAUGGGGGUUUUCUCAUGUGCUAGAUACUCAGCUUCCCAGCCUCCUUUGCAGCUGUGGUGAUGAUGUGACCCGGUUGCAGCUUGCCUUGUGCUAACUAGUGGACGUGGGCAAUUUGGUUAACCUCUUUGGGCUUCAUUUGGAAAAUGGGAAUAAAAAUAAUGCCUAAUUCAUCUGAGCACUGUAAAGAUUUAAUAAGUUACACAUAUAAAGCACCUAUUUUAAUGUCUGACACAUAGUAAGCAAGCGAGUGAUACCUAUGAUGAUACCUAUGAUACCUUUGAUGAUGAUGAUGAUUACAGUCGAUCAGAUCUCAGGAAUAUCGGCUUAGGGUAGCACUAGGUAGUGCUUACUUUCAUAGUAAAAGGACUGGUGCCCCAAAGUGUGGACACAGUCCCUACUCAGUUUUGUGAGGCAGCACUUUAUACCAGGCUGUGAACCACAGGGGCGAACAGAGGAAUCACAACCAAGAGCAGGAAGCAGGAUAACACUGGAUAUCCGACAUCACUGCCUCUGAAAUCUGAUGGUCAAUGCAGUCCCAGAGAUGAACCUAUGGUCUUCUUUGUCCUUAGGUUCUGGAUGGCUGCCAUGUUGCUGGUACCCACUUCAUCUACAAAUGCUCUGUGAUAAGCGGAAUUCUAAAGAUGUCCCCCAAGACAUCAGUCCUCUGGUUAAUCAAACACUAACCUAGGUACUGUUGUGAAGGGGCUUUAUAGAUAUAAUUAAGUUUACGAAACAGCUGAUGAAAUAGAGCAGCCUGGGUUAUCCAGGUGGCCCCAAUCUAAUCAUUGGGGCCCAUAAAAGCAGAUAAAUUUAUUCAGCUGGAGUCAAAGAUGCAGUAGAAGAGGAAAGCAGAGGAGAGGUAAGGAAGGAGAGAGAUCAGAGAGAUGUGACACAUGAGAAGAGCUUAGCCAUUGUUGGCUUUGAAGAUGGAGGAGGCAGAGUGAGAGCCAAAAAAUAAGGGUGUCCUCUAAAAGCUGUGUGAGACCCGGAUGAAAGCCAGUAAGGAAACAGAGACCUCCAUCCUACAACCUCAUGGACCUGAAUCCUGCCAACAACCUAAAUGAGCCUGGAAGCAGAUUUUCACCCAGAGCUUCCAGUGAGGAAUACAGCCCUGCCGUCUUCUUGAUGUUAGCCCCAUGAGAGCCUGUCGAACUUCUGAUCUGCAGAAACUUGCGGUAAUCAAUUUUGCUGUUUUAAGCUGCCAAGUUUGUGGUAAUUUGUUACCGUAGCCAUGGAAAACUAGUAUCUCCUCUCACCUUGGGAUUGGUCCAUGCUGGUGGCCUCACCCUACCGCCUGCCUGGAGAACAAUCUGUCCACCUAAGCAGGACACCUUUUGUUUAUUAUGCAGAACAGAUUGGCUCUUCCCUGUGUCAGCUUAAUCCUCACAGAACACGUAACAGACUCGAAUAGCGCCUCAUCAUGGCCUCUCAACAAAACUCUCAGACCAAGAGGACCCAACGAGGGCUCUUCAUGGAUCAGAACGUUAUUGCUUUUGGCCAAAGCUAUUGCAGAACUGACAGUCACCGAGUCUUCAAAAUACAACAUAAGACGAAGGGCACUCAUUCUGUCCUGGGAGCUCCACCUUGAAAAAAGAAAAGAAGACCCCACUCCACCCACUGCUGACUCCUUCAAAGUGGAGAGACGACCUUUGACUCUUCAGCUCACCAUCUCCCCCACCCCUCAUAGACGCUCUGGCUGCAAGGGACACCUCAGCGACUGUUUCUUAGUGGGUCUCAUGCUGUGUUAACCCUUGGGCAAUGUCUGGAUCUCUGACUUCAGGUUCCUUAUCUACAUAAUUUCGAAAAGAAUACCUUGCAGGAAGAUUAGCGCAACAUCUGCCACCAAUCCUCCUCUUUUUGCUGAGGAAGACUGGCCCUGAGCUAACAUCAUGCCCAUCUUCCUCUACUUUAUAUGUGAGAUGCCUGCCACAGCAUGGCUUCCAAGCAGUGCCAUGUCUGCACCCAGGAUCCAAACCAGCGAACCCCGGGCCAUCGAAGUAGAACGUGUGAACUUAAUCUCUGUGCCACCAGGCCGGCCCCUUACAUUGUUUUUUAAAGAUUAAGAUGGGGGAUAUAAGUUAUUAUCUGAACUUGGGCUCAAAGGUUUUGAAGCCUUUCAGGCAGAAACCUACUUGGUAGAGUGAGCCAGGCCGUAUUUAGAGUGCCACUCCUUCUGGAACCCAGCUGGUGUCUCAGGGGCAUCCUUGAUAUGUUGAUAUGUUUGCAGGGGUUUCUAAACUCACCUUCCCACUUUUUGCUUACAAAUUACAUUGUGAAUUUAUUGAUUUUUCCUCCUAAUAUUUUUGGCCAUGAGAACAAAAUAUAUGAGGUUAUUUUGUGUUCCUUCCCAAGCCUUGGGAGGUAGUUUCACUUCCUUAUGGUAACGCAGUCCAAAAGAGAAUUUAGUUUCAUCUUCUCCAAUAUUAUUCUAGAUUCAAAAAUAUCUUUAAGCUUUCAUAAAUCUGUAAUUGUUGACAGAUUUGUAGUUAACACAUCUCAAAUAUUUAGGCUCAGGCAUUUAAAAUUCCAACAAUAAUGAUAACAAAGAUAAAACAAUUAUUGUCUGCAAUAAAUGAUCCACAGCAACAAAUUUUAGAAGAAUAGUUGAUGAGUGACUUGCGUUUCCAUGAUUGGGGGCGACUGGGGUUGAGGGCGUGAAGAACUCGGCCAGAUGGAAGGAUGGAGAAGCAGAUAACCUAAGCGAGCCACUCAUUUCUCGACCUGGAAAGACGGGAACCCUCCUCUGAGGGACUGGCUGCUCUUUCUAGUCAUUUACUACAGGGCUCUUCAUUUCUCUUCCGGGAGCCUGUAAAGCUCAUAUCCAAGGUGCACAUCCGCACCGGCCCCAGGUUUCUGAAGUUUCUCUGGGACACAGUAAGUGAGGCAAAUGUUUUCAAUGAAAUCCGCAUCAUGUUCUUCUUUGUGCAAGUUCAUAUUUUGGUUGACAUGAUAACCAUAAAUAUUUAACAUUCUAAAAGCUGUGGCUUCCCAGCCCCACCCGCCCGAUGGGAGACCACGUUGCAUGCAUUAAUUUACAACCCACUUUCAUUUCAAGCUGGUCGAUAAUAUUUCAUAAGGUAGGAAACCAGAUGGCAUGAUUUGGUGGAGAGAUGAAAAGAGCAGAGGGUGCCUUAGAGACCCAAAGACCAAAUUCGGAGAGGGAGGGUAGACAUCGUUUUGUGAGUGGGACACUGUCUUUGUUUUUUCUUAAUCUUGACAAAAUUUUCUUUUUCCCACACUGAAGAAAUUAACCGCAACAUUUUAAGAAGAAGUGAAAGGUCUCCUUCUUGUGCUGACUCCUUCCUCCUCCCCACCCACCCUCACACACACACACACACACACACACACACACACGCGCGCGGUAGCAGACGUGCUGCUGAAAGGUGUUGCCGCCCAAGGACCAACAGAAAUUAGGAGACAGGGCUCUACCCACUGAAGCUGGACACAGUGUGCUGUCCAUUUGACCCAGUUGAACAAAUGUGGUGUUUUGAAAAAUGACCCUCACUUGACAUUUACAAGAUAUCAAAUGAUCUAUUUGAAUGUCAUUAUUUAAGCAAUUGCUUUUCGAGCUUGUGGACAGUCUAAUUCUCAUCAAUUUCACCUUUAAUUUAGAAGAGGAAUGAUAACCAAUGGAAGGAAGAAGAAGAAGAAAAAACAACCCACAACAGAGGCCUGUGUCCUUAUGUUCCAGAGUGGUUUUUCAUUCAGAGUGUUUUCUGUAAAUGUGCUUUUGAAUAAACCUAAAACUGACAAGUAAAGGGUUGAGUAGAAAUAAAUUCUUCCUUUUUUAGCUGGGACUAGAAAAAGGG